GUAAACUCUUUGGCUGAAAUUGCUGCCAGCAGGUAGCUGGAGCCAUCAGCAAAAUAGAACCAGCACAAAUGAGGACAAAGGCACUGUCUGGGAAGGGAUGGGACAGAAAUUUUUGUCUGGGAGAAGGGUGGCCUGGCAGCUGGGAGCUCCAGGGAGGGGCCAGAGCCACGUCCGUUCUUAGUGUACUUUAAUGAUAAGCCCUGGGGCACAGGACAGGGCUGUUGGGGCUUGAUGCUCGAUACUUCCCAGACCUUCCUAAAUUUCUGCAUGGAGCUUCAGGGCAGAUGCCAGUGUACUGGUUGAGGCCUCCUGGAAGGAAAAGCUGAGCCUGUAUGGAGAUAGCUGGUGGCCAUUUAAAGCUGAAAGGCCACAUGUCAUUUAAUAAAUAAAAUGGGCUACCAUUUAUUUAGUAUUGUCUGUAUGCUAGGCUAAGCACUUGACGUGCACUGCCUCAUUUAAUUUUUUCAGUGAUCCUAUGAAGUACACACAGUUCCUAUCCCCAUUUCACAGAAGAGGACAUUGAGACAUAAGGAGGUUUAGGAGUGGCAGAGUCAUCUGUUGACUUUGCAAACUGUGUGCAGAACCUGGAACAUUCUGCUGCCUGGAUGAGACUAUUUUCUUCCUCCCUCCUCCAGCUCAGUGUGGUAGGGAUGGGGUGGAAUCAAUACAAAACUCUAGAAUACUGGAAUGUUCAAAUCAUGUGCUUUAGAAACUAUGUGGUCAGGGACUGUCAAGAACCCGCCUACCAAUAUUCCACAAGUUUUCAGACUUGUUCAGAUGGGGAUUCACCCUAUGCCUUGCCUUUCUACCCUGUGCCUCACAGGGUUCUCAAAGCAAGAUAUGAACAAGGCAGAGAUCCCCAGGGGGCCUUGGUUAAAAACCCUCUUAACCAGAACCUUCAGGGGCGCAGCCAAGGAAUCAGACAUUUCAACAAACUCCUCACAAUGGAUAUAUUUGACAAAGGACUUGCCAUCCAGAAUAUAUCAAGAAUGCCUACAAAUCAAGGACAGGAAAUAUGAUUCAAUAAGAAGAUAAGCAAAAGAUCUGGACAGGUGCUUCACCAAAGAAGAUAUACAAAUGGCCAAUAAGUACAUAAAAAAUGCUCAGCAUCAUCAGUCACCAGAGAAAUGCAAAGUAACACUACAGUGAGCUAUCUUUCACACCCACCUGAAUGGCCAAAGGUAAAAAGACCGACAUUACCAACUACGAGUGAAGAUGUGGAGCACCUGGACCUCUCGUGCAUUAUGAGUGGAAUGCAAAAUGAUAUGAUCAUUUGGAAAACUGUUAGCAUUUUCUCCUAAAGCUGAAUAUAUGCAUGCCUUCUGACCCAUCGCUUGCACUCCUGGGUAUAUAUCAAGAAAUAUGAGUGACUUGUGUGCACCAAAAGAUAGAAACAAGAAUGUUCAUGGAAGCUUUACCCGUAACAACCCCAAACUGGAAAGUCACCCAGAUGCUUACCAACAGGAGAAUGGAUAAACCAGUUGAGUACAACCACACGAUGAAAUAUUGCUCAGAAAUAAAAUAGAAAACAGCUACUGAUAUGUACUGAUAUGUAUAUCGGCACAGGCCACCAUGGACAUCUGCUUUGCCUGCUCACCAGUGAAUUCUCUCUUCUGGUAACACACCCUGAUUUUCCUCUGGGAGCUGCCCUCUCCUACUCUCAGCCCAUGUGUUUCAGGGUGUGUUCUGGAUUUCUUUAUCCCUCUAGGAACUGUGUUUUACAACCAGCCCUUCUGACACCAAGUGUGUGGGUUGUUGUUCUCCCUCGCACACCAACCAAUCCCCCAUUUCUCCAGAUGCCAAUUAGGGGCCCUACAACUUCAUUCCAGUCUCAUACUAACUACCUGGAAUCAGUGCAGACCCAACAGGAUAAGAGCUCACUCCUGUGAGACUGCACUCACUUCAGAUGCCAGUCACAAGUCCUGGGCCACGUGGAUGUCUGACCAGUAGGCUAUGAAUUGUGAACACAGAGAGCAAGCAGGGAAGGAGCAGAGAGAGGAGGAGACACAGAAUCCGAAGCAGGCUCCAGGCUUUGAGCUGUCAGCACAGAGCCUGAUGCGGGGCUCGAACUCGCGAACCAUGAGAUCAUGACCUGAGCCGAAGUCGGACACUUAACCAACUGAGUCCCCCCAGGUACCCCUGUUUUCUGUUUUUUAAUGGAGGUUCCACUGUAUAGGCAUGAUUGAGCAAAUCACUGGCCAUUGGUGACAAACUUAAUUUAUAGUUUCCUCCCCUUCUGGGAAGUGUGUGGGAGGGGAAAAAAAAGCUGAAAUUUCUAGCUGUCUAAUCAUGCCUUGGUCUUUCUUGGCCAGCCCCCCAUCCUGAAGUCAUCUAAGGACCCCCAAGGCCUCAUUAGCAUAUAAAAGACACUCUUACCACUCAGAAGAUCCCCAAAGUUUUAGGAGCUGUGUGCCACCAACCUGGGACAAAGACCCAGUUAAGUUCCAGUCUGUGACGCACUAAAGUGACCACUGUCUCUGGGAGUAGUUGUAUCACUUGAGAAAUGCAUCUCGUAAUGGUGGAAUCACAGACAGUGGGGAUGGGGUACGGGCUUCUCCCAGUGCCCCAAAUCCUCCUGGUGGAUGGUGGAUGCACUGAUGAUUUUGCCCCCUUGAAUGUGGAGAUAAGUGGGCUUUCUUUCUUGCUCUCUUGAGGUUGAGGUGGGGGGGGGCACAUAGUCUGAGUAGGAGUAAUUGGAGAUAAUGUAGCUGUUUACAUAGUAAGUGCCAUUGUUGCUUUAUUUUGUGCUACAUUUUGCCCUAACUCUAGAAAACAUAGAGCUAAAAAAAGAAAAAAACAAAAACCAAAAAACGCAGACAUUACAAUUUUCCUUACAUCUUGGGUUUUUGCUAAAGAUUAAAAAAGCUACUUCUAUAAUUUAUUCCUAAAACUGCUUUGGAAAUGCCAUCAUCAAGACCAAAAUGCACCAGGCAAUAGUUAGAAAAGCAAAUAAUACUCUCUCCUCGUUUGCUUAAAACCAUCACAGCAUCGUGCAAUCUGUGAAUAGCACCCAGCCUAUCCCCUGAGUCUUGUGUGCAUUUGGGAAAUUAAUUAUGACUCUCUUAUAAACGUCAUAGAAAUGAUGCACAUGGCCAUCAGCUUGCUCCAUUUCUGCAGGCUGCAGCUAUUAAGGCUGCAAGUGGCUCUGUGAGCCUUCGCCAGGCUGUGUGUGCUGGCAAAGGAGUUCUGGGCAGGGAGGGGAAGGAGCAGGAGGCAGGACAGAGACAGUUCUCAGAGGAAGGCUCUAGAAGUCCUUGUGAGCUCCAGGCUCUGCACCUCUUGUGAUGGGGCAGGUCUCUCCGUCUGCCUGAGCCUCUGUUGCCUCAUCUGUAAAGCAGGCACCACCAUAACAGUACCUGGCAGAG